rnacentral:rRNA from 1 species
GACGAACGCUGGCGGCGUGCUUAACACAUGCAAGUCGAACGGGCCUUGUCCCCUUUUUUUUUUGGGGUGGGGUUAGUGGCGAACGGGUGAGUAACACGUGAGUAACCUGCCCCUCACUUCUGGAUAACCGCUUGAAAGGGUGGCUAAUACGGGGUGUUCUGGCCUGCUCGCAUGGGUGGGUUUGGAAAGAUUCGACCGGUUUUGGUUGUUUUGGUGGGGGAUGGGCUCGCGGCCUAUCAGCUUGUUGGUGGGGUGAUGGCCUGCCAAGGCUUUGACGGGUAGCCGGCCUGAGAGGGUGGGCGGUCACACUGGGACUGAGACACGGCCCAGACUCCUACGGGAGGCAGCAGUGGGGAAUAUUGCACAAUGGGCGCAAGCCUGAUGCAGCGACGCCGCGUGAGGGAUGGAGGCCUUCGGGUUGUGAACCUCUUUCGCCAGUGAAAGAAAGGUUCCCUGCUUCUUUGUGGUGGGG